CUAGUUUGUUAUUAAUGUCAUGAUUUUAUGUGUGUAAGGGUAAUAUAUAUGUUAUUUGUUUCAAAUGUGUAGUGCUUUUCGAAGUUUUAAGGCAUUAAGUGGACAAUCUAGGGGAAGUAAAUUGACAUGGCAUUUGGGACAGUGUCCUCAACAAUUGGGUGGACGUGAGUGUGGCUACUACGUCAUACGUUAUAUGUACGAAAUACUUGAACAUCACCAUAGCAGUGAAGAUCUUAUUCAGGAUUUUUCAAGAACUACACCGUACACCAAG